UACGUAGGGUGCAAGCGUUGUCCGGAAUUACUGGGCGUAAAGAGCUCGUAGGUGGUUUGUCGCGUUGUUCGUGAAAACUCACAGCUCAACUGUGGGCGUGCGGGCGAUACGGGCAGACUUGAGUACUGCAGGGGAGACUGGAAUUCCUGGUGUAGCGGUGGAAUGCGCAGAUAUCAGGAGGAACACCGGUGGCGAAGGCGGUUCUCUGGGCAUUAACUGACGCUGAGGAGCGAAAGCAUGGGGAGCGAACAGG
rnacentral:rRNA from 1 species